rnacentral:rRNA from 1 species
GACGAACCGUGCGAACGUUAUUCGGAAUCACUGGGCGUAAAGGGCGCGUAGGCGGUCAGCACAAGUCAGUUGUGAAAUCUCCGAGCUUAACUCGGAAAGGUCAACUGAUACUGUGCGACUAGAGUGCGGAAGGGGCAACUGGAAUUCUUGGUGUAGCGGUGAAAUGCGUAGAUAUCAAGAGGAACACCUGCGGCGAAGGCGGGUUGCUGGGCCGACACUGACGCUGAAGCGCGAAAGCCAGGGGAGCGAACGGG